rnacentral:rRNA from 1 species
ACGGGAGACACACGGCGGGUGCUAACGUCCGUCGUGAAGAGGGAAACAACCCAGACCGCCAGCUAAGGUCCCAAAGUCAUGGUUAAGUGGGAAACGAUGUGGGAAGGCCCAGACAGCCAGGAUGUUGGCUUAGAAGCAGCCAUCAUUUAAAGAAAGCGUAAUAGCUCACUGGUCGAGUCGGCCUGCGCGGAAGAUGUAACGGGGCUAAACCAUGCACCGAAGCUGCGGCAGCGACACUAUGUGUUGUUGGGUAGGGGAGCGUUCUGUAAGCCUGUGAAGGUGUGCUGUGAGGCAUGCUGGAGGUAUCAGAAGUGCGAAUGCUGACAUAAGUAACGAUAAAGCGGGUGAAAAGCCCGCUCGCCGGAAGACCAAGGGUUCCUGUCCAACGUUAAUCGGGGCAGGGUGAGUCGACCCCUAAGGCGAGGCCGAAAGGCGUAGUCGAUGGGAAACAGGUUAAUAUUCCUGUACUUGGUGUUACUGCGAAGGGGGGACGGAGAAGGCUAUGUUGGCCGGGCGACGGUUGUCCCGGUUUAAGCGUGUAGGCUGGUUUUCCAGGCAAAUCCGGAAAAUCAAGGCUGAGGCGUGAUGACGAGGCACUACGGUGCUGAAGCAACAAAUGCCCUGCU